UUUAUCUUUUUUUUUUCUAUUUGUGGGACCUCUUUUACAUAUUAGAGAUAAUAUUCCUUAUGGUUUUCUACUUCAUCUUGAUCUUCCAUCUUAUUUAUUUUUUGUCUUUCAUAAAUACUUGAUUUUUAUGUGGUCAAGUCUGCCAAGCUUUUCCUUUAGAACUUUUGUGUUUCAUAUCAUGCUUAGAGAGACUGCUUUUCCUUUAAACAAUACCAAUAUUUACACUUUGCUUUAGUACUUGUGUGGUUUCAUCUUUUUACACUUUAUGUUUUUACCCUUUUGAAUGUAUUUCUGUGUAAAGGCUCCAGCUUUAUUGUUUUCCAAACGGUUGGUCAAUUAUCUCAACAACAAAUUUGAUUAUUCGAUCUUUCCCCCAGUGAGGACUAGAGAGGGGAAAAGGGUAAAUAAACAAGGUUCCAAGACAGAAAGGGAUGCCAAUAGGUCAAAAGAACAGUUCAGACAAGAUUCCCCAGUCUGCUAGCAGUGAAUCCCUGUGGAAUCUCUCUUCACUGUGGUCCCGCUCGCCCUUAAUGGGCAGAGGCAGGAUGUUACAGGGUUGAGGCAGACCCGCAUUAUUAUUGGAGCCCUUUCCGGAAAGCUCUACAUGUGCAGCCUUGCUCUUAGCUCUCAGCAAUUAAGAAGAAAAUCUGACCUUCUUGUUUUGGAGUUAAUAGUAAAUUGCCAUGUAACUUGGGAUCUUUGUCAGCCUACUCUCCUGUUACCUCCCUGCCGUCACCCACUCCGGCCGCUCACCCAGACUCUCCACACUACCACAUUAAUAUAGAAGUAAUUCAUCCCAUCUUCUUCAUCCACACUGCCACUGCCCUAGCAGUGAGCGUCAUCCUGUCCUCUGGAUGGCAGCCCCAAAGCUAGGGCAGUCUGUGUGUGUGUUUGGAGGUGGGAAAAAGGGAGGACAGGGUGAUGAGAGCAGUAGCUCCCAGGUUGCCUGUGCAGCAAGAAGCCUGGAUUCUCACCAUCGGUGCUUACACCCACAUUCUGGCUGCUGGCAUCCUCUUUGCCAAUUUGUUUAAGGCAGCUUGGAUUUUGACUGAGGUCUGGGUCUGGGCACAGAGAGGAGUUUGUCCUGAAGUUCCUGGCCAAGUAGGGGAUCCUGGAAGAUGUUGGGAGUGGUAGAUACAGCUUGUGGUCUCUUUCCUGGGAGACAGAGGCUUAUGUGAUCUCUAUCCGCCACUCUCAUCCCCAGCUUAUUGACACAGCUUGGAUCUGGGGCCAGGAGGACAGGCACAGGCAGCCUGGAGCUUAAGGCAGGCAAAAUGCCAGGCCGGACAGUCAUCUCGUGGGUGCUGUGGGUGAAUUAUGGCACCAGGGUCCACAGAGCAGGCACAAAUCAUGGGCUGUCAGGAACGGGGGAAAGGCAACGCCUGCCCUCCUCCCCCAGUUGGAUUUAUGGGUUCAGGGCCUGGGUCUGGGUUCAAGAUGAUUGGACUUUACCAUGUUUCAUUUCCCCAGAAUGUUCCUGGGGAAGAGCUUGUCGCCUAAGACUGUGUAUGUGUGAGCGUGUACAUGUAUUUAUCAUUAUACAUGACUUGCUGUGGCUGUGCAGGAUGGUAAGUUUCUGCAUAGCUCUCUGUGUGCUUCUGAUUUUAUUUUUGCAUGGCUGACCAUGCAUGAGCUUUGCAGGAGUGUGGGCUUUGUGUUAUAUGACCCAGUGAGCUGUUUACAGGGUGAAGAUCUCGUGGAGCUGGGAAGUCCAAGAGUUUUUUGUGUGUGCGUCCGUUGGAGAGUGGGUCAGGGAGGGGCUGAACUUGGGAUGUCUGGGUAGCUGAUGUAGCUCCAACCAAGAAUAGGAGACUAGGAGGGAAAGUAGUUUGGGAAGGACAGUUUUGGGUGUGAUGAGUCUGAGGUCUUGGCAGAACAUUGAGGGGACACAUCUAGAAAAGCAGGGCUGGGCUUAAGGGAGAGUGAAGGGCAGGAGGGCCUCGGUUCAGGCUGCCUUCCAAAUGCAUUCAGAUGACAAUGCACUGGGGGAUGCGGCGCUUGGCUAGAAUGAACAAAACACACACACACACACACACACACACACACACACACACACCCUCUGAAAGCUGAAAGGAUACGUGCUGUGUUAAUCCCAUCUGGACAGAGUUCAAUAGGAAAUUUCCAAGGGUUGUUGGGAUGGCAUAAGUUGUGCCCAACAGUGAGAGUCAGGGAAAACUUCCUGGCAGAGGUGAUUAUUCAGCAGAAUCAUAAGGAGAAGAGAAUGCAGAGGGAAAAGGAUAAAUGCCCUGGCAUUAGGGAUUGGACAUGGGGAUAGAUUCCACAACAUUUGGUGCGAGGAGAGCAAACGAUUUUGAUGACAAUGAGCCCCUAGGAGGCUGGGGCUGUUGACUACUCAUCAUGGCAUUUCGAACACCUUGUGCGGGAGUAGGUGGUCUGGAUGUUGAGUUGACCCGGAGUCAACGUCUGAACCACUAUAACUAGAGAGAGUCCAGGAAGUUUACUGAAGGGGAACUUUGAAAUUGACACAAGGCAUUGGGUAGGGACUGACGGGAGAGGGGAUGGGGAUGCUAGGUACUUAAAGGGGGUGCCCAGCCCUGCCCAGCUCCUUCAGCCCGGCAGAUCUGCCAUACCGUGUUCCAUUUUUAAAACCCAGACAGUGCUCUACCCAUUCGCUUCCUCCAUGACUUGCCUCCAGAGCUGUUGGUUUGAAACCAUCACCUUGCAAUCCUCCUCGCCACAUUGCCUCCUGAUCUUCCCAACCUCUGUGUGACCUUGACUCACUUUCCUGAUCACGAACUUGCCAAGCUCAGUGGGUGGAGCAGCCUUCUGUCUGAUCGCUUGCUGAAUACGCCAGGGCACCAAAGGAAGGCUCAGCUAGAGAACACCCAGGACUUGAGAAGACCGUGUUUAUCCUCUGCUAUCAGGGCAUGGAUGCAGUGCAAAAAGGUACAAGUUAUAUUUGAGGGAUCCAAGGUCCAAGACAUGCUAAGAGGUCUAAAACCGGAUUUCUGGGGGCUACAGGGAAGGAGGCCUAUGGUGCCACACCUGGAUCAUGAACAAGGUGAGUGUCCCGGUAGGUAAAGGUAAAGUAGAGGCUCUCAGAGUCUGAGGUCUGCACAGGUGGAUAUAGACAGAGGUCAGCCUCAGUGGCACAGGCUGUGAGCAGGGGCUGCCUGGGACCAGAAGUAACAGAAGACCUCAAACUUGGCAGCCUGAAAUGGUGAAAAAAAAAAAAAAAACAUGCAUUAUCUCACAUAAUAGGAGCUCCCUCCAGAAAGGGAAGAUAAGCUCCCAUGCUGUGGCUCAAUGAUGCCAUCAAGGACCCAGGUUCUUUCUGUCUUUUGCUGCUACACUGAGUGUAUUGAUUUUGUCCUCAGAAUGGCUUCCCUCGGGGUCACAAAAGGGCUGCCCCAGAGUCAGUCACCCUAUCCAGACACCACAGUGUCCAGUAAAAGAAAAGACCCUCUCCUCUGGGUGUUCUUGAGUGAGAAACCUUUCCCCCAAGCCUCCCAUUGGGCUCCUCCUUACUUGCCUUUGCCUCUCCUGAUCAUUGACCAAUACUAACUUGUGUCAGCCAAGAGUCUUCCCUGGGGCUGGGUCUGCUUCUCUGAAACAUAUGUCCCAAAGAGGAAGGAGGACCCCUGCACACAACCAGACUUCUUUUAGGAACGAGGAGGUGGAUGUUGGGUAGACAAUGAAUUAUCUCUGUUCCACCAGGCCUCCACCAGUGCCAGAGAGAUGGGUGCAAGACAGAUCUGCAGGAAGUUGUUGCAAAAGCUCCAUAUUGGGAGACCAAAUCUAGGAACCGGUUAUUUGAGAUGAGGCCCUACGUCCCAGUGGAAUCAGCAGACAGGCUCUGAAAUGACACCUGAGGGAGACGUGAGAACAGAAGGACCUCGCAGAUACAAGCGGAGCAGCAGUGUGUGAGUCCGGGCGUGGACAGAAGCAGGUGCUCACACGUGCUGCCCAGAACCUGCAGUACGGGGGCAGCGGUGCUAUACCUGGAUCCUUGCUCCUAAAUGGACUCUAAGCUACCUCCCGGCUGCUGGUGAUGGAAGAGAGCACCAG